AACGCAAAUUGCGCCUCUCUCCGGGAGGCAUGUCUGUUUGAGGGUCUUUUUUAAUCAAUAAUACUACGAAAUUUUUUUUUUGUGGUACGUUUAUGGGCUUUCCGAAAUUUUUUAAAAUUUAAAAUUUUUUGGUAGCUUUGAAAAAAAGGACCAUGGCACGGAUUUCUGCGACGACGGGUAGUAAACAAGCAUCGAUAUGCGCAAAUACAAAAAACCUGUUAGCGUGGGAAUUUUGUUGCAGUGGAGGUGAGAUUUUAGGGUGUGGCAAAAUUACCCAGGAGAAAAAGCCACUCUUUCCCAUUAUGGAAAGAAAUUAAAAAAAAAAAGAAUUCAUUUAUUUUUUUUUUUUUUUUUUGCAACGAGACCUCAAAUCAGACAAGAAUACCCGCUGAACUUAA
rnacentral:misc_RNA from 1 species